rnacentral:rRNA from 1 species
CGACCGGCGCACGGUGAGUAACGCGUAUGCAACUUACCUAUCAGAGGGGAUAACCCGGCGAAAGUCGGACUAAUACCGCAUGAAGCAGGGGCCCCGCAUGGGGAUAUUUGCUAAAGAUUCAUCGCUGAUAGAUAGGCAUGCGUUCCAUUAGGCAGUUGGCGGGGUAACGGCCCACCAAACCGACGAUGGAUAGGGGUUCUGAGAGGAAGGUCCCCCACAUUGGUACUGAGACACGGACCAA